rnacentral:rRNA from 1 species
UACGGAGGGGGCGAGCGUUGUUCGGAAUCACUGGGUGUAAAGGGUGCGUAGGCGGUCCGUUAAGUCUGAUGUGAAAUCCCUGGGCUCAACUCAGGAACUGCAUUGGAAACUGGCAGGCUGGAGUACCGGAGAGGGAAGCGGAAUUCCUGGUGUAGCGGUGAAAUGCGUAGAUACCAGGAGGAACACCGGUGGCGAAGGCGGCUUCCUGGCCGAGUACUGACGCUGAGGCACGAAAGCGUGGGGAGCGAACGGG